GCCAUGGCUCCCAAACUCAUCACCCUCCUGUGUCUGGGAAUCUGCCUGCCUACCAGGAUCUGCACACACGCGGGUGGUUAUGACAAGUUCUCCCUGUCAGCCUGGCCGAGCCCCGUGGUUCCCCUAGGAGGACGUGUGACUCUGUCCUGUCAUUCCCAUCUUCAGUUUGUCAUAUUCACAAUAUUCAAAAGAUCUGGGACCCGGGACCAUGAGCUGCACACCGGCCUUUCCAACAACGUCACCAUCGGCCCUGUGACCCCAGGACACGCAGGGACCUACAGAUGUUCUGGAUCUUACAACCACACCACAAUACGGUCAGCUCACAGCAAAUCCCUGAAGAUUGUGGUCACAGGUAGGAGAAGUCCAGCCCGCCCCAUCUCCACCAGAUGGCCCUUCCCAGAGUCCACACCGAGUGAAGCCAGAGUCAUUGUAGGAUUGCUAGUCAUGCACUAACUGUGGACCCAGAAGCCAUCCUGAGAAUUUAAAGAGAGGGCAUUUCCUGUGAGGAAUCAGGUACGCAGGUGGAGGAGGAGGAGGGAGGAAGCCGAGGCCGAGCAGCGGGAGAAUCUGCCUGGGGAGUAGCAAACACAGGAUGCUGGUAUCAACUCCAGUAGGGUGGGUCCAGGGAGGAGCCAUGUUGCCUGACCCCAGAACCAGUGUUUCCCUCAGGGAAGUCAUUACCCCGCCUUGAAGGAGCCAGAGCCUUGGGGAAAUAACACUUUCCUUGUGAGAUGAGUCCAGUGACUCAGUGGGACAUGGAUCGGGAAAUGCACCCAUUCCUCUCGUCCUCCUUCCCUGUCUCCUGACACUUAUCCCUUCUCUCUCAUGGAUGUUACGGGGAGUUAGAGACUCAUCCUGUACAGUCAGGAAGGGAAAGUGUGGAGUGAGUCUCACAUUCAAGGAGCUCAGAAGGAACAGAGAAGAGGUUGAGUCUUUCCACCAAGAGGCGGGAAAGCAGGUCGGUGUGAGGUAGGGAGAUCCAGGCUACAGAAGCUCCUGGAGGAUCUGAGUGGAGACUGGGACUGUGAGGAGCUGCUCAGCAAAGGAGUUUACCAUGUUCUUCUGCCUAAAUAGGGAAAAGGAGUUAACUGCCACCCUCCCCAACAAGUAGUCACGUCUAACCUCUUGGGUUCUGGGGCAAAAACCAGUUGUUUCCUUCAGUGUGACCCUGUGAGAUUUCUUCUGAUCCUCCAGAGAUUCUUGUAUUUUCAACACACAGAAUUGAAAAAUAGUGAGGCUCAUAACCUCACAGUCCCAUGCCAGGGAACCUAAGUCCAGCAGUGUUUUCUGAAAGUUCUCAAAGCACAGAGUAAUUCCCAUUUUCUAGGAGAACCACACAUCUCCUAUGGCUUCAAGUCAGACAAUGGGGAUCCACGCAGAGAGAACAUGCAUGCACAAUGCACGCACACCAACAGGAAGGAUGCCGACGGGCUUUGGGGGUGACAAGGGAGAGCUUCACCCUGAGGUCUCAGGCGAGGGGUGAGGAAGGAGACUCAUGUGAACUCCUCUGUCUCUGCUCCCAGGCUUGUUCGCAAAACCCUCCAUCUCAGCGCACCCAAGCUCCCUGGUGCAUGCAGGAGCCAGGGUGAGACUGUGCUGUCACUCAGAACUGGCAUUUGAUGAAUUUAUCUUAUACAAAGAAGGGAACACACAGCAUUCCCAGCAGUAUGGUAAGAUGAUCCAGGCUGGGCACCACCUCUCCAAGGCUGUCUUUUCCAUGGGUCCUGUAACGCCUGCCCAUGCAGGAGCCUACAGAUGCUGUGGUUCUUUCAAUCACUCCCGCUACAUGUGGUCGGCUCCCAGUGACCCCCUGGACAUUGUGAUCACAGGUGAGUGUGGCUGGACCGUCCGUGGUCUUUUGGUGCCCUGGAAACUCCCUGGGGUGAUGUGGUUGUUGAUCAAACCGCCAGUAAAGGAAGAAAAAUGCCGGAACACAGAAACACCAAGUAACUUAUUAGAGGGCCAGGGGAGGGGAUGAAGGAAAGAGGGAGAAACAGAGAACGUGUGAUAGUUAAAAAGAAAACAAGUUACAACCACACCUCAAUGUGGCAGAGACACUUUGCCACUGGCAGAGACCGUGACAGAGAACGUGAAACAGAUACUGAGAGAGAUUCGCAAACCUCGACAAGGGGCUGCUUUCCUUCAGCUCAGGCACUGAGUUACAUUUUGGAGUUGGUUCCCCACCUGGAACCUGCAGCCCUGUUCCUCUGCCAUGAGACGCAGGGACACAGCACAAACUCCCACCUUCACCGCCCACCAGCGAAGCUCCUGGAGGAUCUGAGUGGAGG
rnacentral:lncRNA from 1 species